UCCCUGUUAGCUCAGUCGGUAGAGCGUUCGGCUUUUAACCGAACGGUCGGGGGUUCGAGCCCCCCAUAGGGAG
rnacentral:tRNA from 1 species